rfam:Nomascus leucogenys chromosome 13, whole genome shotgun sequence.
AAAAAGGUGUUAUUGAACACCAAGCACAUACACUAAAUUAAGUAG